AUUGAACGCUGGCGGCAUGCUUUACACAUGCAAGUCGAACGGUAACAGGCCGCAAGGUGCUGACGAGUGGCGAACGGGUGAGUAAUGCUUCGGAACGUGCCCAGUCGUGGGGGAUAACGCAGCGAAAGCUGCGCUAAUACCGCAUACGAUCUCUGGAUGAAAGCGGGGGACCGAAAGGCCUCGCGCGGUUGUGUCGGCCGAUGUCAGAGUAGGUAGUUGGUGGGGUAAAGGCCCCCCAAGCCAACGAUCGGUAGCUGGUCUGAGAGGACGACCAGCCACACUGGGACUGAGACACGGCCCAGACUCCUACGGGAGGCAGCAGUGGGGAAUUUUGGACAAUGGGCGCAAGCCUGAUCCAGCAAUGCCGCGUGCAGGAAGAAGGCCUUCGGGUUGUAAACUGCUUUUGUACGGAACGAAACGGUCUGGGUUAAUACCCUGGGCUAAUGACGGUACCGUAAGAAUAAGCACCGGCUAACUACGUGCCAGCAGCCGCAGUAAGAC
rnacentral:rRNA from 1 species